UCCCUCAACUCACUCGACUCCAGCACAACUGGCCUCUUCUUUACUCCUCACAUGUAGCAAGCUUGUUCCUCUCUUGGGGCCUCUGACUUACCAUUUCUUUUGCUUGAAACACUCUCCCACCAGGUGCUUAGAUGGCUCUGUCAAACAUCUCACCUGCACAAAGAGACUUUCCCUGAACACUGCAUCUAAAAAAGUUCUCCUCCCAUCUGGCAUCGCCACUCCUGCACUGUCUCAAACUGACCCUUUGGCGCACUUGCUCCUUUUGAUACCGCAGUGUAUAUUUACUGUCUCUCUGAUUAUUGUCUGUCUUCUCCACAAGAAGGAACUCUGCAAAGGGAAGGAAGAAUCUACCAUGUGCUACUUAAUCCAUACAAUGAUCUGGGGAGGAAGAACUGUCACCCCUAUUUUGCAGAUGAAGACAUGGGCACUGAGAGCCCGAAAGGUCAGAUAAGAGCUGAUGAAGAAACUGAAGUACAAGGAGGAUAAGCAACUUAUCCAGGGCCACACAGCUGGCAGCGCCUCUGAAAAACCUACAGGUAACUGACCGUCAUUCGUGAUGGGAAGCCGUGUGGGUUCAUUAUGAUGUCCGGACAGAUGCCAGAAUCACAAAACGGCAUGUCUUCCUGGGGGACGAUCAAGC